GAUGAACGCUGGCGGCGUGCUUAACACAUGCAAGUCGAACGGAAAGGCCGAAGCUUGCUUCGGUACUCGAGUGGCGAACGGGUGAGUAACACGUGGGUGAUCUGCCCUGUACUUCGGGAUAAGCUUGGGAAACUGGGUCUAAUACCGGAUAUGACGAUCUCUUGGAUGGGGUUGUGGAAAGCUUUUGCGGUAUGGGAUGAGCUCGCGGCCUAUCAGCUUGUUGGUGGGGUAAUGGCCUACCAAGGCGUCGACGGGUAGCCGGCCUGAGGGGGUGUACGGCCACAUUGGGACUGAGAUACGGCCCAGACUCCUACGGGAGGCAGCAGUGGGGAAUAUUGCACAAUGGGCGCAAGCCUGAUGCAGCGACGCCGCGUGGGGGAUGACGGCCUUCGGGUUGUAAACUCCUUUCGCAAUCGACGAAGCCUUUUGGUGACGGUAGGUUGAGAAGAAGCACCGGCUAACUACGU
rnacentral:rRNA from 1 species